GGCAGCAGCCAUGGCUGCUUCUGGGGGUCCCGAGCAGGAUCUCUGAGAGGAAGUUACUUGCCCCAUCUGCCUGGAGUGUUUCAGGGAUCCGGUGAUCAUCCCGGAGUGCGGGCACAACUUCUGCCGAUCCUGCCUGAUCCAGUGCUGGGGGGAAUCCGAGGGAGAGGCUUCCUGCCCUCAGUGCAGGGAAAUCAUUCAGCACAGGAACCUCAUCCCCAAUCGGCCGCUGGCAAAUGUUUUGGAAAAACUUACACUCGGGAAACUCCGUCUUCAUGGGGGAAAGGGGGCCGAAGGAAAGGGGAAGAUCUGCGAGAAGCACCAGGAGCCCCUGAAGCUCUUCUGCAAGGAGGACGAAAGCCCCAUCUGUGUCGUGUGUAUUGCGUCCAAGGAGCACAAAAGCCACGAGGCGAUUCUUCUGGAAGAGGCUUUCGAGGAGUACAAGGUAAGAAAUCUCUCUGGAUUUCCUUUGGGUUUGAUGAGGGCGAAAUAGCUACAGAGAAGGGGGUUUUGCAGGACAAUGUUUUAAUAUAUUCUCCCCCUCCUGCAGACAAAGAGUCUCUUGUCAGUAAACUUCUGAAACUCUGUUCAAUUUAUUUUUACCGUUCUGGGGAUUACAGUGCCCCUAAUGUCCCCCUGCAGGAGAAACUCACCCCCAGUUCAUCCUCUGGAAGCAGCUCCCUUAGGAAAGGGCUGGAGGGAGGAGCAAUGGAGGUGGCAGGGAUAGAAUCACAGAAUGGUGGAGUUGGAAGGGACCCUGAGGGCCAUCUAGUCCAACCCCCCGCAAUGCAGGAAUUCUGCCCACAGCCGUCCCUGGUUGGGCUCCAACCACCAACCUUCUGGUUGACAGCCAGACACACUGACCCAUUGCGCCACAGGCUCCCAGGAUGACGAAGGCAAAGACCACAGUCUUUGGGGCAGGGAGCAAGCAUCUGAUUCAACUUUCCUGUUAUUAUGAAUACUAAAACUCCAACAAAGAAAAACAACAACCAAAGUUUGAUUUUCUUUUCUUUUCAGGGACAGAUAAGCAGCUGCCUAGACAAUGUGAAGAAGGAGAGAGAGAAAAUUCUGGAAUUUAAAGCGGGCACAGAAAAGGAAAGUCAAGACCUGCUUGUAAGCAUUAUUUUUAUUUAAGGUGAAAAAUGUUAUGCAGUAGUACCUCGUGUUACACAACCCUCUGGUUAUGUAAACUUCAGGAUGCGAACAUGGCAAACCCAGAAGUAUUUUUCUGGGUUUCACUGCGCGCAUGCGCAGAAGCGGCCUAUCACGCACAUGCGCAGAACAGGCACCUCCAGUUGCUGAAACUUUGAGAUCCGGCUGGAGCUCCGGAAUGGAUCCCAUCCGCAACCCGGAGGUAAUACUGUAGUAUAAUAUCUGGGGAAAAAUGAAGAUGGAAUACAGAAAGAAGUUUACAGUAUUUUUGAACAGUCUGAUCACACACAGGGCAUGAAAGACCAUUUGAAGGUGGGGGUGGGCUUGUAAAUUUUUAUGAAACUCUUUUCCUGCUGGAGUGAUCUCUCUAAAAUGGCAGACAUGCCCUUCCAAGUGAAUUCUAAUAACUGGUCUCUUCAUCCUGCAGUAUUAUGCCUAAUAUUGGCCUGGUUUUCUC
rnacentral:lncRNA from 1 species